rnacentral:lncRNA from 1 species
GUUUUAAGCAUGUUUAAGCAUGUAGAGGCAUGCUUUAAGCGUGUUUAAGCGUGUAGAGGCAUGCUUUAAGCGUGUUUAAGCAUGUUUUAAGCGUGUUUAAGCAUGUAGAGGCAUGCUUUAAGCACGUUUAAGCAUGUAGAGGCAGGCUUUAAGCGUGUUUAAGCAUGUUUUAAGCAUGUUUAAGCAUGUAGAGGCAUGUUUUAAGCGUGUUUAAGCAUGUAGAGGCAUGCUUUAAGCGCGUUUAAGCAUGUAGAGGUAUGUUUUAAGCAUGUAUAGUCAUACCGAGGCGUGUUUUAAACCCGUUUGGGCACCCCAAGGCGUGUUUUUAAGCGUGUUUUCCCGUGUCGGGAGGUGUUGGGGGGGGUGCUGAGGCGUGUUCUUGGCGUGUCCCCGCCGCAGCCGUGGCUCAGCGACCCCGAGGAUGCCCCGUUCCUGGACCCCGUCCUGCGCAAACGCGCCGUCAAGGUCAAACACGUCAAGCGCCGGGAGAAGAAAUCGGACAAAAAGAAGGAGGAGCGGUACAAGCGGCACCGGCAGCGGCCGCGGCACCGGGAGCGGAGCCGGCACCCGGAGCGCCCCGACGCCCGCGACCCCGCCGGGCUGGGCCAGUGCCUGGGCCCCGGCUGCACCCGCCCCGCACGGCCCCCCUCCAAGUACUGCAGCGAGGCCUGCGGCGUCAAGCUGGCCGCCAAGUGAGUAGAAACCAGUACGGACCAGUAGAGACCAGUACGGAGUAGUAUAAACCAGUAUGGAGUAGUGGGGAGGGCGAUAGACCCCUGUGGUGUCCCCGUCAUCCAAGCGCUGGGGGGAGGGUGGUGGUGUCUAGCUGGAUGUUAGGUGAGUAUAAACCAGUAUAGACCAGUAUAAACUAACGCAGACCAGUAGAAACCAGUAUAGACCAGUAGAAACCAGUACAGACCAGUAGAAACCAGUAUGGAGUAGUGGGGAGGGCGAUAGACCCCUGUGGUGUCCCCGUCAUCCAAGCGCUGGGGGGAGGGUGGUGGUGUCUAGCUGGAUGUUAGGUGAGUAUAAACCAGUAUAGACCAGUAGAAACCAGUACAGACCAGUAGAAACCAGUACAGACCAGUAGAAACCAUGUAGGGAAUAGUGGGGAGGGNNNNNNNNNNNNNNNNNNNNNNNNNNNNNNNNNNNNNNNNNNNNNNNNNNNNNNNNNNNNNNNNNNNNNGGGGGGGGGGGGAGGGUGGUGGUGUCCAGCUCGCUGCCACGUGAGUAGAAUCCAGUAUGGACCAGUAUAGACCAGUAUGGACCAGUAUAGACCAGCAUGGACCAGUUCACACCAGAACCCCGCCAGGUUCCCGCAGGAUCCCCCACAGAUCCCGGGGUGUCGGGGGGGUCCCCGGGGUCCCAGUCAGAGGGUACCCCCCCAGUGGAUCC